ensembl:lncRNA
GGGGGUCAGGUAGAGAGUUAGGUCAGGUAGGGAGGUCAGGUAGAGAGUUAGGUCAGGUAGAGAGGUCAGGUAGAGAGUUAGGUCAGGUAGAGAGUUAGGUCAGGUAGAGAGGUCAGGUAGAGAGUUAGGACAGGUAGGGAGGUCAGGUAGAGAGUUAGGUCAGGUAGGGAGGUCAGGUAGAGAGUUAGGUCAGGUAGAGAGGUCAAGUAGAGAGUUAGGUCAGGUAGGGGGGUCAGGUAGAGAGUUAGGUCAGGUAGGGAGGUCAGGUAGAGAGGUCAGGUAGAGAGGUCAGGUAGAGAGUUAGGUCAGGUAGGGAGGUCAGGUAGAGAGUUAGGACAGGUAGGGAGUUAGGUCAUUUAGGGGGGUCAGGUAGAGUGUUAGGACAGGUAGAGAGUUAGGUCAGGUAGGGAGGUCAGGUCGAGAGUUAGGUCAGGUAGGGAGGUCAGGUAGAGAGUUGGGACAGGUAGGGAGUUAGGUCAGGUAGGGGGGUUAGGUAGAGAGUUAGGACAGGUAGAGAGUUAGGUCAGGUAGGGAGGUCAGGUAGAGAGUUAGGUCAGGUAGGGGGGUCAGGUAGAGAGUUAGGUCAGGUAGGGGGGUCAGGUAGAGAGGUCAGGUAGAGAGUUAGGCCCCGUAGGGAGGUCAGGUAGAGAGUUAGGUCAGCUAAGGAGGUCAGGUAGAGAGUUAGGUCAGGUAGAGAGGUCAGGUAGAGAGUAAGGUCAGGUAGAGAGUUAGGUCAGGUAGAGAGUUAGGUCAGGUAGGGAGGUCAGGUAGAGAGUUAGGUCAGGUAGAGAGUUAGGUCAGGUAGGGGGGUCAGGUAGAGAGUUAGGUCAGGUAGAGAGUUAGGUCAGGUAGAGAGUUAGGUCAGUUAGGGAGGUCAGGUAGAGAGUUAGGUCAGGUAGGGAGGUCAGGUAGAGAGUUAGGUCAGGUAGAGAGGUCAGGUAGAGAGUUAGGUCAGGUAGAGAGGCCUACGUCACCAUAGAGAAGAGCCGUCCGUCCAUCUGUCCACCAGAGAGACCGCUGAAUGCUAAAACAAACUGUCACAUAUCCACAACAUCCACACCUAUGAACUUGGACACAUAAUGAUUGUGGUUCCUUUGAAUGGCUAUAGAUCAAUACAAACAUAUGCUAUAGAUGCUAUAUGCUAUAGAUCAAUACAAACAUAUGCUAUAGAUGUUAUACGCUAUAGAUCAAUACAAAC